CGGCACGAGGACUUUUCCUCAUCGCGCGCUCCGCGUCGCCUUCCUCUAUUCCGGUGCCGCUGCUCACCACUCCAUCCCGGCGCCGCCACUCACCACUCCAUCCCAGCGCCGCCGCUCGUCUCGCUCCUUCCCGGUGCUGUACCAUACACUAGAUUGAGAGCCUGCUCACCUGAAUCGACCUCUUCUCAAGCGAAAUUGAUCUUCUUGUGCUUGUGCUUGUUUCUCUCUACGUCUCCCGGCGGGUAGCGGAAGAGAACCAACUCCUCGCCGUCGAGGCCGGGGCUCAAUCCCCUAGGCUUUGUCUGCAGCCAGCGCUCGUCGGAUCAGUUCUCCAUGACACACCCCGCUCAUCGAUUUGCACCUGAAAAGUGCGGGCACGAAGACGUACAGGAACGCCACGCUCACCGGAUUGCUUGACGCAGUAGAGGAGUCAGACCUCCACCAAAUCGCCAGGGACCCAGCGCCCCUGAUCUCCCUCCCUCCCAAGCAUACGAGGAAAGAUGAAUUCACUUCUUGAUUUGUUUUUUGACGAUGAGUCCGAUGAGUCUGAUGAUGACUUCGAGAUGGCAGCAGUUUUGAUUGCUGAGAUGGAGGAGAUGGAGAGGAAUAAGCAGCCCAAGCGUGGUGGUUCCGUGCAGGGGCGUGAGGCGGUUCAUUUUAAAGAGUUCUUUCCAUUUAUAUGUGUCGCUAAUAUUUAUGUCAACAACGAAUGGCAAGAUGCUUGCACAUAUAAUCAGGGGAAGAAAGCGAGAGAAAAUAGAAUCUGGGUUGCAUACGGGCUGCUUUGGGUCAGUGCGGCCCAGGUACAAAAUAUGAGUGAUAAAGUAUUGGUAAUCUGUUGGAGGAGGUGAAUAAAAAGAUCAAUACCAAUAAUAAGUGACCACCUAUAUGUAUUUUUUGGAGAUGUAUUACUUGGUAGUCUGCUGGA